CUCUGCCCUCGCCGCCCCCAUGCCAAGCAGAAGCCUUUUAAUGGGCACCAGCAGCCUGACAGCUGCCCUGCACCCCGGGCAGCCUGGAUUAGUGCUCGGCCAAGCUGAAAAUGUGGAAGGCGGGUCUCAGGGCAGCCCUGGGUCUCAGUCUCCUCAUCUGGAAGAGGGAAGUUACACCAAAUCUACAAUUCUCAAAGAAUCCAAAGGACCCCAGGAAUUGCUGCGAUGCCAUCCAGUGCCAAGGUUCUGCUUCUCUGAUGGAACCCCAACUGAUACAGAUAUCCUCUGCAGCUUGCCCACCCAGUGUUUUCUUGUAUGCUUCCUGUGAUGGGAGAGGUCACCAGCUCACAAGGCAGCAUAGUUCAUUUUUGGUCAGCUUCAACUCUAACAAGUUACAUUUAUAUUGGACUUGAUUAAGUCUUUAUAUGAACUUGACCCACUGGUGCUGGUUCAACCCCUUGGGCCCAAUAAGCCCAAGGUUGGUUCUUUUAUCUUGUAGCAGCCCAGCAGAUAUUUGAAGGCAGCAUGCAUGCUCUCCACACUUGUCCGUGCCAAGUCUCCCUCAUUUGGCAUGCUGCUCCCCUCCUCUGACUGUUCCCCAGGUUGUUGAUGUCCAUCUUAAAGUCUGGCUGUAUUCCACGCCAUUGCUGACAACAGGAUGAGUGUAUCUAGUAGCCAUAGGAUCACGGGCCUGGAGACCUCCAUUGUCCUUUGCUGUAUGGAUCCCAGCCCACAGGAAGCUGGGGCUCUUCUUGAAAGAAGAAAUGAGGGGCACCUGAGUGGCUCAGUGAUUGAGUGUCUGCCUUUGGCUCAGGUUGAGUGUCUGCCUUUGCCUGGGGUCCUGGGAUUGAA